rnacentral:rRNA from 1 species
AGAAGGUUUUCGGAUCGUAAAACUCUGUUGAUGGAGAAGAAUGUAUCUGAUAGUAACUGAUCAGGUAGUGACGGUAUCCAACCAGAAAGCCACGGCUAACUACGUGCCAGCAGCCGCGGUAAUACGUAGGUGGCAAGCGUUGUCCGGAUUUAUUGAGCGUAAAGCGAGCGCAGGCGGUCUCUUAAGUCUGAUGUGAAAGCCUUCGGCUCAACCGAAGAAGUGCAUCGGAAACUGGGAAACUUGAGUGCAGAAGAGGACAGUGGAACUCCAUGUGUAGCGGUGAAAUGCGUAGAUAUAUGGAAGAACACCAGUGGCGAAGGCGGCUGUCUGGUCUGUAACUGACGCUGAGGCUCGAAAGCAUGGGUAGCAAACAGGAUUAGAUACCCUGGUAGUCCAUGCCGUAAACGAUGAGUGCUAGGUGUUGGAGGGUUUCCGCCCUUCAGUGCCGCAGCUAACGCAUUAAGCACUCCGCCUGGGGAGUACGACCGCAAGGUUGAAACUCAAAGGAAUUGACGGGGGCCCGCACAAGCGGUGGAGCAUGUGGUUUAAUUCGAAGCAACGCGAAGAACCUUACCAGGUCUUGACAUCCUUUGACCACUCUAGAGAUAGAGCUUUCCCUUCGGGGACAAAGUGACAGGUGGUGCAUGGUUGUCGUCAGCUCGUGUCGUGAGAUGUUGGGUUAAGUCCCGCAACGAGCGCAACCCUUAUUACUAGUUGCCAGCAUUAAGUUGGGCACUCUAGUGAGACUGCCGGUGACAAACCGGAGGAAGGUGGGGACGACGUCAAAUCAUCAUGCCCCUUAUGACCUGGGCUACACACGUGCUACAAUGGAUGGUACAACGAGUUGCGAGACCGCGAGGUUUAGCUAAUCUCUUAAAACCAUUCUCAGUUCGGAUUGUAGGCUGCAACUCGCCUACAUGAAGCCGGAAUCGCUAGUAAUCGCGGAUCAGCAUGCCGCGGUGAAUACGUUCCCGGGCCUUGUACACACCGCCCGUCACACCAUGAGAGUUUGUAACACCCAAAGCCGGUGAGGUAACCCUUCGGGGAGCCAGCCGUCUAAG